CCUCAAAGAGUGGAGGGGUUUGGCAGAUGUCUCAGAGGGUCACAUAUCAUUCAGUGUUAGGCUGUACAUCCACUUUCAUGAAAUAAAGGAAUUGGCUAAACAUGCAUGCACAUAUGUUUAUUCAUUGUUUACAGGUGACUCACAUAGCAGCGAUGUUUAAAUGGGGUUGUUUUCGAGGCUGCUUGCUGCAGCUUGUGAUUGAAAUUACCGUUGCUAGGGAGACGCUCUAAUUUGGCUUCAUUGUAGACGUUGUGGUUUGAGCAACAGGUGCCUGUUAUUUUUGGUUGCUUUGUUGCAGGGCUCUGCGUGUUUAAGUACGCUGUGUUUGCAUGUGUGUGUGUGCGUGUGUUUCUUCUGCAAGGGUGUAUGCACAAAAGUGUGUGUACUGAUGUGUGUCCUACCAUGCUACCUUUGCAUCUUCAGAAGGACAGAAAUACACAGCCGCAAGCUGAGACAAGCAGGAGCAAAUAAGGCUCUGCGGUUCGCCGAGCUCCACACCCAUGGGAUGCUUAGCAUUUGUUUACCAACCCUCUUGAAGGUGUGAGAUUUUUUUAAGGGUUAUUUAAACCUCACUUCAAUUCACACAAGCAAAUCAGGUAAGAGGGGGAAAAAAAUCAGGUUACCAAAGUUGUGUGAACUGAAUCAACCGCCGCUCAACUUGACCUUUAAAUUUUUCCAUUCCUCUGUUUAACUAAACUGAUACACAGGGGUUUGAGCUGACAGACUACGAGGAUAAAGUGAUUAGACUUUGCAUACUCUGGUCCUUGUUCUGUGAUGUGAAACCGAAAGUGUGUUUAUUAUGAAUUUAAAUGACAACUUGCGCUAAAGUAGCCUGCAUACAUUGCAACCGCUUCAUAAUCCACCUUAUGUUGACAUAAAAAUGAAGCAACAUAUGCGUGAAACGGACCCAUUUUUAAAGACCCGUUAUUUACCAGUUUAUGAAGAUCCAGGCUGGUGGUGUGCAGUCGCCUCUGAUUGCAGAACAAUCUAAAAAUCAUAUGCUGGGCUCAUCCACACGAGACAGUUUCUCAGACCCGUUGUCCAGAAGGUAAGCCAAAACAGAGCCUGAGACAUCUCAUGAAACACGUCAUAUGCCAGUUCUCACUACAAACUGCAGAUCAGCAGGUGCUGUGAAACUUGGUUUCUCCUUUAUUCUUUACAUAUCACUUUGGUGUAUUUACACUGACCAUGUUUUUAAAGACAACCUCAAAAUAUCUCAUUUAAACAGAAAUGCUUUCACUGAUUAUUUACAGCUUACCAUCAAAUGAGCAGCUGAGUGCUAAACCAAUAAUUGCUUCUAAUCAGCUGUCAAUCCCCUUUACCUCCUUUAAAAGGAAGCUACGAAAAAAAAAGCUGGAUAAAGAAUAGAUAAAAGACCCUCAUGAAAACCAUCAAUUAGGAAGUAAAUACAUUUGUAAAAAUCCACUAAACACUGAUGUUAUCAAACCUUUUCAACAGGAAAUAAAGCACAAGAAAUGCUACAUUGGAGCAUGGUGACUAUGUAUUGCUUGGCAACCUUUAAGAAAUGGUUCAAUUUUUGGUUCAGAUUCUGCCUUCCCCUCGGUAAAGGGACCUCCGAGAUGGAAAAGAUUCUAUUUGUGCAAAUCAUGUGUGCAAAGCCCAAAUAAAGCAUGAAAAUUACACAUCUUCACUUGAUCAACCUGCUUUGUUUUUUGAAAUGCAAAGGGAGGUUUCUGUGGGAAUUGGUUUAAAUUGAAUUCAAAGUGUACACCUUUCCUUUCACGCUUCCUCAGCUUACCCUUAGCCAUUUUUUCUUUUUUAAUCCAUUCUUCCGCCAUCAUCAGCCUCUCUUUCUUUCGGCAUUCAUCUGUGAAAUGCCUGGCAUGGGCAAAGGUAAUUGGAAGUGACUUUUUUGUCAUUCAAACUAAGGAGAGAUUGACAGCAAUAUAAAGGCUCUGUUAAAAAAAAUCAUUGGUAAUUGGUAUGAUUAUACACUUCUGUAGAGCAAGAAGUCAGCAGAGAUAUGAAUUCUCCUUUUCCACAAUGCUUACUACUUUUGAUUGGCAUUUUCUUGUCUCCAAAUGCUUUGCAUUGCAGAAUUAUACAUACGUUUAUUAAGUCUCAUGUAAACUUUCAAACCUCCACACUUAAUCACCUGUAGUUUCAUUUUAACACAGACAUGUAACUCAAUGUAACAUGUUCCGAAGUAUAAACCCAGUGUUAUGUGUUGCAGGCAGGAUAUUUAAAUGCUGUAACAGUCAUAUAAAGAGGCUAUGAAAUUAAGAAAUUAUGAUUAAAAAAUGUAAUCUUUAUGGAAACGAUUACAAAAAUACCAACAAAAGUUGCACACUUCAGAUUUAUUAGCUCAGUCUGACCCAGGAUUACAUUCAAAGACCAAGUAACUACUGCGUUGUAAAUCAAGCUGUGCCCAGCAGGAGCAGGAUCACAAAGUCAAUAGCCUUCAGGGUCAAGGGUCAUUGGGAGGAAGCUCAAAAUCAGGCAGCUGCUAGUUAUAUCUUUAUCUACACUAAAUGACACAGUUGUUAUACUAACAGUUGUUUACAAUGUAAUUUCAGACAAUACCAAAAAGUAAAUAUAAUGGCAUUCAAGCAUGUUUGAAUCAUCUUUCAAUCUCAGUACUGUGUAUUUCAUCAAAGGUAACAUAUUUACCUGUUUAAAAUGCUUAGAUUUGUAGCUGGGCUGGCCUUUACAGUUUGCUCCAGCUGCUCCAAAAAACUGUCUGCAAGAACUCCUAAAUUUCACUUGACCAGCCUUAUAACUUCCAAGUUAUUUCUCCCAUGGUUGUAUAGCCAAGGGGGCCAAAGCCUAUUAAGUAGUUUGCUGGCAGAAAUAACACAGGCAGCCUUACUAAUGGGGAGGUAUUGCUAAGAACUGAAGGAACUGCUGCUUACACUGUGUGUUUCUCUUUGGAUACAGUGAAUCACUAUGGUUAUUUCUGAAUAUCUGUGGAAAGUACCUGCUAUAAUAAGCAGGGUUUUCUGGAGUUUGUUGACUUGCAGUCAAAAGUGAUACAAUAGAAGCAACAGCAAUGACCACACAGGAGGGCAGAGCUGUGACUCAAAGAUAGAAAGUAAGAAGCAGUAGCAAAACACAUAAAACUUGCGGUAGGAAGCUGAACUUUAGUACUAAUCAUGAAAAAGACAGGAUGCUGUGCUGAGGACAGCAGUUGCAAGGAUGUUCAACAUGUGUUCGAGUGUGUACAUUUUGAAAAUGUUACCAAUUUAUACAAUGUUUGCUCUCACUCAAUUCAUUGAGAUCUAUUUCAUGAACAGAAUAAUGAUGUAUCAUUGCUAUCUAUCAAAUAACAGCAUAAAAUUGUCUUUGUAAAGAUAGUAAAAUACUAUACUGGUAUAAUUAAAUAAACUUGACCAAGAAGUAUCUUUAAUGUUUGCCAAAAACAUAAAAUUUCCUCUAUGUUAACAAAUAAGAAUGCAGAUGACUGAGAAGAGUGCGUAUGUGUAUGUGUCUGUGUAUAUAUGUCCAUGUGUGUGCACCCCAGACAGCAGGGAGAAAGAAAAGCGGCCUUUUUACUAACGUUGAUUGGAAACAGAUGUUGGCGAAAACCAAGACAGCAAAGAAAAUGUUUCGGAAAAUUCUCAGGGCUCAGCCUUCCCUUUCUGGGCCCUGGCCCAGGCAACCAAUCAUUGCAGAGCACCCUCUGGUCUUUGGGGUGAACUAAGCACUUCUAUUGGAUGAAGACGUGAACGUGGGCGUUGGGAGCAGAUGUCCUGGGAAAGUUGCUGAAUCCCACUCAACUCACAGUAAAAGAAAGCGAAAACAUUUGCUUGGUUAACUGGACAGUGACCAAAGCAUGUUUUAAUCCAGAUGAACUCUCAGUGCAUGUACAAGCUGACAGUGAAUACAUUAGCACUGUGUUACAGAUUUAUACAUUUGAAAUAUAUUGCUUUUCAAGUUGUUAUUCAUUCAACUGCCUCACAAAAAGAAACUUUAGAAGAAUAGUCUGUAAGAAAAAUGUCUUUAGGACCUCUAAUUCUUUUCUGUCAUCUAGUCGGCUCAAAUGAAUGCGAAUGAGAGUUUCCUCGCACUAUCAUCUCCCCAUCCCUUCACACUUCUAAACCUUCAACUGCUCCUUUGCUCCUUUUCACCUCCUAACCUUCACCCUCCUGCAUUCAACUUUUUCUAUUCCAUCUCUCAUCUCUGUGUUCGUCUCUGCCCCCAGCCCCCUCUCACUCCAUCUUCAGCACCCAGAUUCAGUCACAGUCUAGUUCACAUAUGGCCUCACCUGCACACAAAGCUCCAUCUCACUCUUUUAUUGUGUCAGUCUAUUGCCUAUUCACAGCAACGGCACAGCACAAAUCAAUCAUCUUUCCUAAUGGAAAGUCCACAUUAACAUGAGAAGACACUCAAUUUCCGUCUCAGAAUGCCAGGUCGACUGGUACCUGAGCUCCGGUCGAUGAAGAUCCAGGGCCCUGCAGGCACUCUCAUUUCGGGUGGGAUAGCGAGGUGAUGCCGUCAGGUCCAGGGGUGGCACCGGGAGUCAAUGGUGUAUUAACUGAGGAUGUGACAAUGGCAAUAAAAAUGCAAAUUGCCAUCCAAAGCAGGGGAUGGCCUGGAUCUGCCCUUCAUAAGCCUGCAUAAUACAGUCAGCACACACCUGCUAAGACAUGCGGUUCAACACGUCUCAAACAUAACAAUACAGUGAGUGAGAGGAAGGGAGCGUGUGCGUCUAUCCUCGAGACCAUAACACCGGUAACUAAAAGAGUUUUCUUAUCACUGUCACUUCUCAUUGAUUUGUCUAGAAGUCCCCAUUAUGUACAAUUUGUAUUGGGUAAGAAAAAAAAAAAGUUAAUAUGCUAUUGAACAGCACUGGUCUCUACAAACCUUUUACCAUUCUUCAAGUUAUUUUUUGUUCUCAUGAAAACGACUUCAACAUGGUUUAACACCUAUUUGACAUUUUGAAACCAACAUGCUAGACAGCACUCGCCACAAUCAAAAUAACACCAAAAGAGGAAAUGUUUUUUAAAAGACUGAUGGGUGAUAUUUCUAGUAGCUCCAGAGACUUGGGCAGUUCAUACCAGGGUGCAGUGAAGCUAUUCUGGUGUUAUUAGAAAAUCUGUUGUAUCCUCAUUGUUGUUAACUUUGGGCAAAUUAAUCCAUUAUGUUUUGUCUGAUAUAUUCCAUACUAAGGUUAAAGGCCAAGUGUGUAGGAUUCAGCAUGAUUUACUAGCAAAAACUGUAUCUCUGAGUCCAGUUCAUUACACACACCCUCAAUCAUGGGAAGACUCUGAUCUGACAGUUGUCCAGAUGAUAGUUAUCAACAGCCUCCACAAGAAGGUUAAGCCAUAAAAAUGAUAGCUGAAAAGGCUGGCUGUUGGUAGAGUGCUGUACUGAAGUAUAUUAAUGGAAAGUUUAGUGGACAGGAAAGUGUGGUAGCAAAAGGUACACAUUGUCUCAAAAAGUUAUUUCAAAAACUUGGGAGAGCUUCACAAAGAGUGCACUAAGCUGGUUUGAGUACAUCAAGGCUACUCUUGCAUUCCUAAUGUUAAGCCACUCCUCAACCAAAGCCACGAGAAGUGUCUCUUUCCACAUAAAGAUAAAGUUUGCAUUUCAUCAUUUGGAAAUCAAGGCCAUACAGUCUAGAAGAGGAGAGGAAAGUCACAGAAUCUAAGGUGUUUGAAGUCCAGUGUGAAGUUUCUGCAUUCUGUGGUGAAUUGCAUUGCAAUGACCUGUGGUGUCAGUUUGCAGUGUUUUAUCAUGUCCAAAGUCAACAUUGUCAUCUACAAGUAGAUUUUAGAUUAACUCGUGCUUCCAUCUGCUGACAAGCUUUACGGAGAUGCAGAUUUCCUUUUUUAGCAUUGUUUUGUUAACCAUGUUAUUACUGUGUUUGACCCAACUAACCUGGCCUGAACUGUCAAGAGGAAGAUGAAAGCCACUAUGAAAGCAACUUCAGUAACACCUUAGCAGUAACACCUCCAUAACACACCACACUGAUGCAGUAAUUUGUUGUAAAGGAGCAUCAAUAAAUCAAUGCAUAAAUCAACACACCUUUUCACAAGGUAAACAUUUCUGUAUAAAACUUUGUUGCUUGAUCUUGGAAAAUAUUUGAGAUAUAUGUAUUAAAAAGAAACAAUAUCUUGAAGUGUAAUUAAAAAUCACCUUCAGUUUUCCAUGAUAGUCUAUUUUAGUAGUCAGUAGUCUCUAUGAAAUGGCAAACCUCCAUAAUCAUUUAGCAGGGUCUUUUUUAGACAAUGGUUUUAAGUCUGUUUAUGUUAGUGCCUGCAUGCUAUAGUAACACAAGACAACUUUGAAGGGCAAUAGGACAUGAAUUUGUCCUCUGAUAACAGUUUUUUUUUCUUCUUUUGGGCCAUAAGGACCCACAGGGACACAUUGGUUGUAUUUCAAAGCUGCGUAAUGGAACCACUGAGCUGUUGUCUCGUGCGUCACAGGGAUUCUGUUUCAACGAAGAGGAUAUAAUGUUGGGCAGUGAAGAUAGAUGUAGUUAUGUUCUAUCCACAGCAGAAUUUUAGGUCAUUAACAUUAAAGAUUGAGCUACAGAAGAAAUUAAAAGUUGGAAAAGAUUUUGGAGUUCAGUUUACAAUAACAAUCAGUUUAAGGCACUUUAUAUUUUGAGAUAAAGACCCUUCAAUAAUAUGUUGAGUGGCAUAUUAUAUAUUCCAUAUUAUAUGACAUAUAAUAACAUGUAGACACACGCUUUGCCUUCCAGUGUUGGAUUUAUGGUUGUUCCUGUUCUACUGCUUUCUUCACAGUUCAUUUAGAUGUUCUAACUGUGUAUUCAUGUAGUCUAAUACGAAAAACUGAUAGAGUACAAAUACUAUAGCGUCACCACAACUUGUUCUAGUUCCAUUCACAAACUCUGAGGAGUUUGACUAAUUAAAUGAGCCAAAGGGUGAUUUACUUAAUCUAUUAAAAAUUACUAUGUUACUUAGGGACCAGACAACAUUGCAACAUCUGUCACAUGCUUGUUAUUUAGGAUUUGUUUAAAUUGAUUCUGUAAUCUGGCGCAGCAACUAUUCUGCCUGUAAUUACAUUUAGAUGCUAUGCUGCUCCUUGAUCCAAGGCAAAGGGCACAUUGUGUGUAUGUAUUUAAAUUUCCAUGUAUAAGUGUCACAUAUGUCUCUGCAACUAAUCCUAAAAUAUUUUAGAAAAUACUGAAUAUGGCUAUUGAUGAGUAAGUAAGCCCUUUAACUGUCUAAUCUCUCACUGUUUUUUUGUGUGUGUGUGUGU